rnacentral:lncRNA from 1 species
UAAAGAUUGGCACCUGAGCUAACAUCUGUUGCCAAUCUUCCUUUUUUUUUCUUCUCCCCAAAGCCCUCCAGUGCAUAUGGUUGUGUAUUCUAGUUGUACGUCCUUCUGGCUCUGCUAUGUGGGAUACUGCCUCAGCAUGGCCUGUCGAGCAGUGGGGGACAAUAAUGGAAAAAAAAAAAAAGCUGAGAAACACUGCUGUAGUGCCUACAUCUUCUCUGUGGCUUUGGAAACUGCCCAUGAUAAGCAGAUGUGUAUCUUUUUGUUAUGUCCCUCAGAUGAAACCAACACCUUAAAAAUAUUUCCCAUUAUGGCUCUUCUUAAGAUGAAUUCGUGGGAAAAGAAUUGGAAAAGGACCUUCUACAGAUUCUGGGGACGGACAGCUGAAUGCUUCGCCAGCCCUGCGCCUCCACAUACCCCCUUGCCCUAAAUCCCCGCCUCCUUUCCCCCAAUACUCCGUCUAUCCCGUGUGGCGGCUUUCCUCAAAUGGCCAGUAAGGGCCAGGCCUUGUAAAACUUCAAAAGUCCUAAUUUGGGCCAACUGUAAAUUUUUUAUGUUUUUUUCUCCCUUGGAAAUAUUCAUAUGGUUACUUCCAGUCAAGACACAGUUUCUGGAGGCAGCUUGCAUGGCUGACAGGGAGUUACCUGCCCUUGACAUUGGAAAAAAUGUGCCGAUACCUCCAGUAACCCCUGGGGGCCCAUCAUGACCUCUAUUCAUGUACUUAUUCGCUACUGGGGUACCCGCACCCAAGGAUAUCUAAGUCUAGACUCACCUGGACAAUCUCAUUUGAGUCCCUUAUC